rnacentral:rRNA from 1 species
GAUGAACGCUAGCGAUAGGCUUAACACAUGCAAGUCGAGGGGCAGCAUGGUCUUAGCUUGCUAAGGCUGAUGGCGACCGGCGCACGGGUGCGUAACGCGUAUGCAACUUGCCUCACAGAGGGGGAUAACCCGUCGAAAGACGGACUAAUACCGCGUACACUCUAUGUUGGGCAUCCAAUGUAGAGGAAAUGAAAUUCGCUGUGAGAUAGGCAUGCGUCCCAUUAGCUAGUUGGUGAGGUAACGGCUCACCAAGGCGACGAUGGGUAGGGGAACUGAGAGGUUGAACCCCCACACUGGUACUGAGACACGGACCAGACUCCUACGGGAGGCAGCAGUGAGGAAUAUUGGUCAAUGGGCGAGAGCCCGAACCAGCCAAGUCGCGUGAAGGAUGACUGUCUUAUGGAUUGUAAACUUCUUUUAUACGGGAAUAACAAGAGUCACGUGUGGCUCCCUGCAUGUACCGUAUGAAUAAGCAUCGGCUAACUCCGUG